CCUACGGGUGCUGCAGUGGGGAAUAUUGGGCAAUGGGCGAAAGCCUGACCCAGCGACGCCGCGUGGGCGAUGAAGGCCUUCGGGUUGUAAAGCCCUGUCAUGCGGAAAGAACGACCCUGUGACGCAUACUCACAGGGAGUGACGGUACCGCAGGAGGAAGCACCGGCUAACUCCGUGCCAGCAGCCGCGGUAAUACGGAGGGUGCAAGCGUUGCGCGGAAUUAUUGGGCGUGAUGGGCGCGUAGGCGGGUGAAAUACUCCGGCUCAACUGGGGAACUGCAUCUGAAACUGCAUAACUAGAGUACAGAAGAGGGAAACGGAAUUCCCGGUGUAGAGGUGAAAUUCGUAGAUAUCGGGAGGAACACCAGUGGCGAAGGCGGUUUCCUGGUCUGAUACUGACGCUGAGGCGCGAAAGUGUGGGGAGCAAACAGGAUUAGAUACCCCUGUAGUC
rnacentral:rRNA from 1 species